ACCUGCCCAAUGAGGAGUUUAAUGGCCGCAGUAUUUUGACUGUGCAAAGGUAGCAUAAUCAUUAGUUUUUUAAUUGAAAGCUGGAAUGAAGGGUUUGACGAAAAAAUAACUGUCUCUUUAUAAAUUUUUUAGAAUUUUAUUUUUAAGUUAAAAAGCUUAAAUAUAUUUAAAAGACGAGAAGACCCUAUAGAGUUUUAUAUAAUUAAUAUUAAUAAUUUUUAUAGAAUUUUUAAAAAUUUUAAUUUUAGUUAUAUUUUAUUGGGGUGAUAGAAAAAUUUAAGUAACUUUUUUUUUAUAUGAACAUUUAUAUAUGAUUAUUUGAUCCAAUAAUUUUGAUUAUAAGAUUAAAUUACCUUAGGGAUAACAGCGUAAUUUCUUUGAAGAGUUCUAAUCGAUAAAGAAGUUUGCGACCUCGAUGUUGGAUUAAAAUAUAAUUUUGGUGUAGAAGCUAGAAUAUUAGGUCUGUUCGACCUUUAAAAUUUUACAUGAUCUGAGUUUAAACCGGUGUGAGCCAGGUUGGUUUCUAUCUUUAAAUAGUUAAAAUAUUUUAGUACGAAAGGACCAAAUAYUUUAAAAAUUUUA
rnacentral:rRNA from 1 species